CUAGAAAUUAUAUCUUACUUAUUGGUAAAGUGUUAAAGUGUCGGAGUAAAUUUAUUAAAUAUGGAGGAAAGUACCAACAAAUGUUUAGUAGUUGGCUUAGCAUUGGAAAUUGUUUAAUCCACCUCAUACUCCGCUUGUAUUUGAAAUCAUCAGCGGAAUAGAAUAUAAUAUUUAUCAAAAUACUAGAACACAUGAAAAUAUGUAGAAAAACAGACACCAAUUGGCGCAACAUAAAUUGCGCGAUUUAGCGCUGUAAAUAACUGCGACAAAACAAUCAAUAAAAUUGAGGUUAAAUGGCUGGCGAGGAAGCGAAAUCCAAAUGAAAGCGAAUUUAUGCGAAACAAAAUACAUUUAUGCACGAGAAUUCAAACAGACAUAGAACAACAUGGAACAAAAACAAAAUGAAACAAAAACACACACGAGCACUCAUGUCACUAUGAUGUUGAAACAUUUUUCAAUUUCUACAAAUUCGUUGUUUUUGUUAUUUGUUAUUCGUACGACAACAACAGUGAAAAUAAAACGGUUUGUAUCUGAAUAAACAAAACCAUAAAUAAGGCGGCGGGGAGGGAGAAAAGUGUCUAAGAAAGAUCUACUAACUAACUAAGACCUUCGUGUCAUAACUACUCACCAGUGCAGACGUAACGUGUGCAAGAAUGCUGACAAACCCUCGAUAAUGACGAGAAUGGCGACUGUGAAAAAUGCCCACGCAGCGAAUACGAUAUAUAGAAAGAUGGGACCACCGAAAAUCAACGGCAGCAUAAAGCCCUUUUGCAUCACCAUCAUCCACAAGACCUCUGAUAAUUCUAUAAUAACCAAAAACGGCAGCUAAACAAGAGUACGUAACUCGUUAACUAUGCAUAGAGUAUACUUACGCGCAUGCGCCAAUGAGAGCGCCCACAAGCGCAGAUAAGACGCCGUGUGCGAGAUGGUGCUCAGCACAUACUCGAUGGUGUGUAUGGCUUGCUUGAUAUACACCUCACUCAUCGGUUCUUCUGCGUCAAUGCUGUGACCGCCGCCGGCAUGUCCGUUUGCCAAUGGUUGCUGCGUAUCACCCGAAACUGUUGAGAUAUGCACAUCACCAUUGGUGUAUGCAGUUCGUGGCUGUAGUGUACAAAAAUUAAUUAUUUGUUUCAAACCGAAUUUUAUGUAUAUUGCAAAGUACGCACCGCUCUUCGGACACGCUUAAAUUUCUCGUGCAAUGGAGUGCCCAACAACAUCCAUGGUAUGCAAAGUACCGCUAUCACAACCAACACUA